GAAAUGUGAUAAGUAGUGUGAAUUGCAGAAUUCAGUGAAUCAUCGAAUCUUUGAACGCACAUUGCGCCCUUUGGUAUUCCUUAGGGCAUGCCUGUUCGAGCGUCAUUUGUAACCUCAAGCUCAGCUUGGUGUUGGGUGUCUGUCCCCGCCCCGCGCGGGGACUCGCCUCAAAAACAUUGGCGGCCGGUACGUUGGCUUCGAGCGCAGCAGAAACGCGAACUCGAGGCCCGACGGAUCGGCGACCAGAAGUCACUUCUUCCACAGCUUGACCUCGGAUCAGGUAGGGAUACCCGCUGAACUUAAGC
rnacentral:misc_RNA from 1 species